rnacentral:rRNA from 1 species
UGAACGCUGGCGGUAUGCUUAACACAUGCAAGUCGUACGAAGAUCUUUGAUCUUAGUGGCGGACGGGUGAGUAACACGUGAGAAUCUGCCCUUAGGAAGAGGAUAACAGCUGGAAACGGUUGCUAAUACUCUAUACGCCGAGAGGUAAAAGGAUUUAUCCACCUUAGGAAGAGCUCGCGUCUGAUUAGCUUGUGGUAAGGUAAUGGCUUACCAAGGCGACGAUCAGUAGCUGGUCUGAGAGGACGAUCAGCCACACUGGGACUGAGACACGGCCCAGACUCCUACGGGAGCAGCAGUGGGGAAUUUUGGACAAUGGGGCAACCUGAUCCAGCAAUGCGCGUGUGUGAAGAAGGCCUGGUCGUUAAG